rnacentral:rRNA from 1 species
GAGGCGUUAUUCGGAUUUAUUGGGGCGUAAAGCGUAUGUUCGGGGGCUUGUUAAGUCGAGGGUGAAAUUUAUAUGCUCAACAUAUAAAUUGCUUUCGAAACUGGCAAGCUGGAGUUUUGGAGAGGAGAUUGGAAUUCCAGGUGUAGGGGUGAAAUCUGUAGAUAUCUGGAAGAACACCAGUGGCGAAGGCGAAUCUCUGGCCAAAAACUGACCCUUAGAUAUGAAAGCCAGGGGAGCAAAAGGGAUUAGAUACCCCUGUAGUCA